rnacentral:misc_RNA from 1 species
GCAAACUUGGUCAUUUAGAGGAAGUAAAAGUCGUAACAAGGUUUCCGUAGGUGAACCUGCGGAAGGAUCAUUGUUGAUUUGAAUGGGAUGUGCUGGCACUUACUGUCUACCGAUAGCUAAGUGCAUGUGUCACUCCGUUAUAUUCAUAUAUCCCUUUGUGCACAACCAAAUGUAAAUGGAAUGGAUAUGGAGAAAUCCAAGUUCUUCCAAUCUGCAUUUUUUACUUUAACCCUUUCUUGAAAUCGAGAUGAAUGUUAAAUCUAAAACAACUUUCAACAACGGAUCUCUUGGCUCUCGCAUCGAUGAAGAACGCAGC